rnacentral:rRNA from 1 species
GACGAACGCUGGCGGCGUGCUUAACACAUGCAAGUCGAACGGAAAGGCCCUGCUUUUGUGGGGUGCUCGAGUGGCGAACGGGUGAGUAACACGUGAGUAACCUGCCCUUGACUUUGGGAUAACUUCAGGAAACUGGGGCUAAUACCGGAUAGGAGCUCCUGCUGCAUGGUGGGGGUUGGAAAGUUUCGGCGGUUGGGGAUGGACUCGCGGCUUAUCAGCUUGUUGGUGGGGUAGUGGCUUACCAAGGCUUUGACGGGUAGCCGGCCUGAGAGGGUGACCGGCCACAUUGGGACUGAGAUACGGCCCAGGCUCCUACGGGAGGCAGCAGUGGGGAAUAUUGCACAAUGGGCGGAAGCCUGAUGCAACAACGCCGCGUGCGGGAUGACGGCCUUCGGGUUGUAAACCGCUUUCGCCUGUGACGAAGCGUGAGUGACGGUAAUGGGUAAAGAAGCACCGGCUAACUACGUGCCAGCAGCCGCGGUGAUACGUACGGUGCGAGCGUUGUCCGGAUUUAUUGGGCGUAAAGGGCUCGUAGGUGGUUGAUCGCGUCGGAAGUGUAAUCUUGGGGCUUAACCCUGAGCGUGCUUUCGAUACGGGUUGACUUGAGGAAGGUAGGGGAGAAUGGAAUUCCUGGUGGAGCGGUGGAAUGCGCAGAUAUCAGGAGGAACACCAGUGGCGAAGGCGGUUCUCUGGGCCUUUCCUGACGCUGAGGAGCGAAAGCGUGGGGAGCGAACAGGCUUAGAUACCCUGGUAGUCCACGCUGUAAACGGUGGGUACUAGGUGUGGGGUCCAUUCCACGGGUUCCGUGCCGUAGCUAACGCUUUAAGUACCCCGCCUGGGGAGUACGGCCGCAAGGCUAAAACUCAAAGGAAUUGACGGGGCCCCGCACAAGCGGCGGAGCAUGCGGAUUAAUUCGAUGCAACGCGUAGAACCUUACCUGGGUUUGACAUGGAUCGGGAGCGCUCAGAGAUGGGUGUGCCUCUUUUGGGGUCGGUUCACAGGUGGUGCAUGGCUGUCGUCAGCUCGUGUCGUGAGAUGUUGGGUUAAGUCCCGCAACGAGCGCAACCCUUGUUCACUGUUGCCAGCACGUUAUGGUGGGGACUCAGUGGAGACCGCCGGGGUCAACUCGGAGGAAGGUGGGGAUGACGUCAAGUCAUCAUGCCCCUUAUGUCCAGGGCUUCACGCAUGCUACAAUGGCUGGUACAGAGAGUGGCGAGCCUGUGAGGGUGAGCGAAUCUCGGAAAGCCGGUCUCAGUUCGGAUUGGGGUCUGCAACUCGACCUCAUGAAGUCGGAGUCGCUAGUAAUCGCAGAUCAGCAACGCUGCGGUGAAUACGUUCCCGGGGCU